UACGGGGGGAGCAAGCGUUGUUCGGAUUUACUGGGCGUAAAGGGCGCGUAGGCGGCCACGACAAGUCACUUGUGAAAUCUCCGGGCUUAACUCGGAGCGGUCAAGUGAUACUGUCGGGCUAGAGUGCAGAAGGGGCAACUGGAAUUCUCGGUGUAGCGGUGAAAUGCGUAGAUAUCGGAAAGAACACCAACGGCGAAAGCACUCUGCUGGGCCGACACUGACACUGAGAGACGAAAGCUAGGGGAGCGAAUGGG
rnacentral:rRNA from 1 species